CGGCGUACGAGGUACUUUCGCCCGAGAAGAAUUCUGGAAGCUGUGAACAUCAUGAAGACUGUGAAAGCGUAGUGCUCGGAUACGGAAGAAUCGAUGAAGGUUGGAAGGCAUCUCAACAGAUAGCUGUGGUACAUUCCCCCGUGCGGGCGGUACAGAUACUCCGCCAACAGCCGCUGGAGGAUGCGGCCUGCAGGGCAGCCGCCGAGUAUGCGCGGCAGGGGCAGGGGCAGCUGGCUGAGGCAGCGAACGCGGAGGCCGCCAGUUUCCACCAGCUGCUGCUGCAGCAAAAUAGGCAGGUACGUACAACUUG